rnacentral:rRNA from 1 species
GACGAACGCUGGCGGCGUGCUUAACACAUGCAAGUCGAACGGAAAGGCCCCUUUGGGGGUACUCGAGUGGCGAACGGGUGAGUAACACGUGAGUAACCUGCCCUUGACUUCGGGAUAACUUCAGGAAACUGGGGCUAAUACCGGAUAGGACUCCUUGCUGCAUGGUGGGGGUUGGAAAGCUUCGGCGGUUUUGGAUGGACUCGCGGCUUAUCAGCUUGUUGGUGGGGUAGUGGCUUACCAAGGCUUUGACGGGUAGCCGGCCUGAGAGGGCGACCGGCCACAUUGGGACUGAGAUACGGCCCAGACUCCUACGGGAGGCAGCAGUGGGGAAUAUUGCACAAUGGGCGGAAGCCUGAUGCAGCAACGCCGCGUGCGGGAUGACGGCCUUCGGGUUGUAAACCGCUUUCAGCAGGGGCGAAGCUUGUGGUGACGGUACCUGCAGAAGAAGCACCGGCUAACUACGUG